GAUGAACGCUGGCGGCGUGCCUAAUACAUGCCAGUCGAGCGAACGGACGAGAAGCUUGCUUCUCUGAUGUUAGCGGCGGACGGGUGAGUAACACGUGGAUAACCUACCUAUAAGACUGGGAUAACUUCGGGAAACCGGAGCUAAUACCGGAUAAUAUUUUGAACCGCAUGGUUCAAAAGUGAAAGACGGUCUUGCUGUCACUUAUAGAUGGUUCCGCGCUGCAUUAGCUAGUUGGUAAGGUAACGGCUUACCAAGGCAACGAUGCAUAGCCGACCUGAGAGAGUGAUCGGCCACACUGGAACUGAGACACGGUCCAGACUCCUACGGGAGGCAGCAGUAGGGAAUCUUCCGCAAUGGGCGAAAGCCUGACGGAGCAACGCCGCGUGAGUGAUGAAGGUCUUCGGAUCGUAAAACUCUGUUAUUAGGGAAGAACAUAUGUGUAAGUAACUGUGCACAUCUUGACGGUACCUAAUCAGAAAGCCACGGCUAACUACGUG
rnacentral:rRNA from 1 species